AGCAGCCGCGCCAGCCUCAUGCCGAGUCCCGCUAGAGAAGCCACAGCCAGUACGCCAGGUUUCCCCGCGCCUCUGCCGAGUGGGUUGAAGGCAAAUACUUGAAGUUGCAAUCGAAGGUCAAGAAAAUGGAAUCAAGAGGUCACAAUCCUUCUCUGAUGAUGGCUUAGAAAGCUGGAAGACACUCAACAUUGAAUCCUGGGGCUCUGUGCCAUGCUUGCUAGGAGAAACAGCCACCAUGAGUCCAUCUUUCAGAUCUCAAGUGAACAGUCAUUCUCCAGCUGGGAUUGAGAACAAGGGGAAGCUGGCCAUAGAGCCAGGUGACCAAAGAUGGAAGACAAAGGGUGGGCUGUGAUUCCCAGAGCUCCAAGCCUUGUUCUGUCUUGUCACACCAACUGUUACUGAUGAACAGCAUGUGAGAACUUUUGGCUGAUGAAUACAAGAUACGCUCAUUCAUUCUCUUCAUUGCUAUGAAAUGAGUUUUUCCACAACCUCCUGCAGAACCUCAACACAUCACUAGGUGGCAACAUCCCUACACCAUAUCGGUUUAGAAACCACGGUUAGGAGGAGCAGCAAAACACGCGGCAUCCCAGUAUGAUUCAGAAGUAAAGUUUACAAUCUUUGAGGCCUGGCUGACUCAUGGAACAACUAGGACAAGAAACAAAGACAAAGAACACACACCUGACUGGACAGAGAUAAACCAAGAGCUGAGAGUUUUGGAAACAAGGCUGGAGCUGAGGAAAAGGACUGGGAACACGAACCUGUACAAACAACAAAUUCUUACAACAGAAAACAAGCCACUCCUGGCCAUCAAGAAACCCACAAAUCUCAGAAGCAAAAGCAAAACAAAUGAAAAUACAAACCAAAUAGUCUCUAUUACCUUCAUGCCUGUUGGGUCCCAAUAAAGGAAUCAUUCCAAUAAA
rnacentral:lncRNA from 1 species